UACGGAGGGUGCGAGCGUUGUCCGGAUUUAUUGGGCGUAAAGAGCUCGUAGGCGGCUUGGCAAGUCGGGUGUGAAAACUCCAGGCUCAACCUGGAGACGCCACUCGAGACUGCUAUGGCUAGAGUCCGGUAGGGGACCACGGAAUUCCUGGUGUAGCGGUGAAAUGCGCAGAUAUCAGGAGGAACACCGGUGGCGAAGGCGGUGGUCUGGGCCGGCACUGACGCUGAGGAGCGAAAGCGUGGGGAGCAAACAGG
rnacentral:rRNA from 1 species